rnacentral:lncRNA from 1 species
CAUACCAGUACGCUCGUAAUCUAACUUCGUCUCUAUAAAGAAUGUGAUAUGGGGAUUGUACAAUUUCAGCAUAUGCCAAAGUCUACGAACAAUCUGCAGAUUCCCCAAUCCACAAACAUUCCAGCAUAAAAGUUUCAUGGUUAUCGGCCUACAUGCCCGUUGGUGUCCGCCGAUAAAUUCAAUCAACAAGUUGUAAAACGUUGUCAUUAAAUCUUGCUGAAUCCAAGCGAUUAGAAACAAGAAAAGAGGAAUGUACA